rnacentral:lncRNA from 1 species
UAUCCAAAACUUGACAAAGAAAAGCCGAAUGCUUUAGUUUCCGGACUUGGUAACACAAUCCUAAAGAUUGUCUUAAAUGGAUUGUAUAUGUACCUAAGUAGUCUCAUCCUCACAAUCUUCCUAUUGAUAAUGUAUCAUUAGAAGAAUAUGUUAGAAAAGUCUAUCAUAAAGAGGACAACAAUUUUAAAUGUCAUAAUUCUUCAAUUACAAAUUGUUGUAUGAAGAAAUAAGAGUUGCUUUGAACAACCCUUAAUCAAUACAAACAUUAGUGCUUGUUUCUUUGUUACAUGAACAAGGAACUUGAGAAGAAAGCACAAAGGCAUGGACACUUUAUGUGCC